rnacentral:rRNA from 1 species
AUUGAACGCUGGCGGCAGGCCUAACACAUGCAAGUCGAACGAGUGGCGGACGGGUGAGUAAUGUCUGGGAAACUGCCUGAUGGAGGGGGAUAACUACUGGAAACGGUCGCUAAUACCGUAUACCAUCAGAUGUGCCCAGAGGGGAUGAGCUAGUUUGUGGGGUAAAGGCUCACCAAGGCGACGAUCACUAGCUGGUCUGAGAGGAUGACCAGCCACACUGGAACUGAGACACGGUCCAGACUCCUACGGGAGGCAGCAGUGGGGAAUAUUGCACAAUGGGCGCAAGCCUGAUGCAGCCAUGCAGCGUGUAUGAAGAAGGCCUUCGGGUUUGAAAGUACUUUCAGCGGGGAGGCGUUACCCGCAGAAGAAGCACCGGCUAACUCCGUGCCAGCAGCCGCGGUAAUUC